rnacentral:tRNA from 1 species
GACCCUAUCGUCUAGCGGUUAGGACACUGCCCUUUCACGGCAGCGGCCUGGGUUCGAUUCCCAGUAGGGUCGCCA